UCUCAAUGGAGGUGCCUUGUAUCUUACA
rnacentral:piRNA from 1 species